rnacentral:misc_RNA from 1 species
AAGUCGUAACAAGGUUUCCGUAGGUGAACCUGCGGAAGGAUCAUUAACGAAUUCGAAACAAAGCGCCCGGCGGCUGAUGCUGGCCCCUCGGGGCACGUGCACGCCUCGGGCGCCUUCAAUUCGCUCCAAACCCCCUUCCCCCUUGUGCACUCCGCGUAGCGCCCGUCUUUUGGCGGCCUACGAGUUUUUACACAACCCCGAUCGCAUGUGUCGUGAGCGCAGCCUUUUUGAUGUGAAAUAACACAAACACAACUUUCAACAACGGAUCUCUUGGCUCUC